GUGGGGGUAGCUCAGUUGGUAGAGCACCGGAUUGUGAUUCCGGUCGCCGGGGGUUCGAGUCCCCUCAUCCACCCCA
rnacentral:tRNA from 1 species